CCAUUCUUAUUACGAUAAAAUGCAACAGGAUAUUUUUAUAGUAGUAGUGUGGGUUAGGCCAAGGUUAGUGGCUCAAAGAACAGAGUCAAACAAGUGUCACAUGAUGUCACCCACAUGUGGGCAGUAGAAUGUGAUGUCAUCAAACUAAAGUGUAAAAUAGGUUUCAGCAGAGAGGGAACAGGACAUGGGAGGGGCCAGGGAGACGUUGGUUCAUCAGGAGAGGGAGAGCAGGGUACUGUUCACCCUCAGCAGAGGACCUUCUCAUGGAGCCGAUGGCGGCUAAUGCACAGGCUCGUAACUGGCCAAAGUGCGGAGGGUAAGCGACCGUGGAGAGCUCUACCCUAAAGUUACAUCUGUAUCACCCCAGCCCCACCCGCAAGGCUCGGGGACCAUCACAGAAGGGGCUAGAAGAAUGUGAGAGCCGGGUGGGGGGGAAGACGUGAAAUAAUGUUUCCUAGACAGGGCCGUUGGGACGGUAGAUUCACAGUAGCUGUGAUACAGCAGCGCAAGAGCAUCAGUGACACUCAGGGAGGAGAAGAGACAGGCUCCUCAGACCCCACCCUAGCUGAGCAGCCACUAGCAGUUACCGGCCUCUGCGGGAGAGAGGUCAGUUUUUUCUCAACCCUGUGGCCACUGAUAAUUUCUCAUGCUCCAGUGGAUGGUCCUUCGCGGGGUGGGCGUGGGAGGGCAGCAUUAAUUAGAUGCAGAGGGGUGGGGCAUGAAGUUGGGCGUGGCACAUGAGAGCAGAUGUGGUCUAAAUGUAAAUUGUAUUCGUGGACCAAAGACUGGGGUUUGUUUGCUUGCUUGGUUUUUUGUUUUCGUUUUGUUUUUGUUGUUUUUAAUGUGGUUGCUUCUUAUAGCUAGCAGAGUGGAAGAACCAAAUGCAGAAGGGGACUGCAGAGUUCCCAGCUGCCCGUCUACCUUUUCUAGUGAAGAAAGAAGAAAGGACAGAGUUCAGAGGGGAGAGAGGGAGCUAAGACUGGUGAGAAUGGUCUCUUCCAGGCAAAGAUGAGAGAGCGGUGGGAUUGAGCUUUUCCUGGUCUGGGACCACAGGGAGUUUGAUUACUGACUGCACAAAUUGGGCAAGGCAGCCUGUGAGGGGUGUGGAGAGGGAAUGGCCACCGGGGAGAAGAGUUCAGAGAGACCGCCUCUCUUCAUUUUUCAAUCAGCUCCUAGAGCAUUCAUAGAACAAUGUUAGGGAAAGGGAAAACCUCAACACUCUGACUGGAAGACUUCUCACUGUAGUGGUUUAUAAAAUCAGUUUAGGGGAAGCAAAGCUUCCUCUUCCACAGGCCCAAUAAUGUCCUGAAUGUCUUUGUAGCUUUCAGACAUACAUUGGUAUCCUUCUUGUGGUUUUGCUUCAAUUCAUUGGGUAAUCCCCCUACUGCUUUCAACAUGACUUCUGAAGAUGCCAGUUCUUGAGGAAAAAGCUUCCUGGGGUCCUCAGGGAGAAUGGCUCUCGCAGAGAAGGGUGUCGAGAAGAAGAAGGGCUGUUCUGCCGUCCACGAGGUGGUGACCCGAGAAUACCCCAUCAACCUCCACAAGUGCAUCCAUGGAGUGGGCUCCAAGAAGCGGGCACUCAGCGCGCUCCUCGGGAACGCAAAGAAAUUCAAAAAUUCGCCAUAAAGGAAAUGGUGACUCCAGAUGUGUGCAUUGACACCAGGCUUAAUAAAGCUGCUGGGACAAGGGAAUAAGGAAUGUUCUGCAUCGCCUCUGAGUACAUCCGGAAAACACAGUGGGGAUGAGGAUUCACCAAACAAGCUCUACGCACUGGUAACUUACGUGCCUGUUACCACAUUCAAAAAUCUACAGAUGAUCAAUGCAGAUGAGAGCUAACCUUUUGAAUGUCAAAUAAAGUUGCAGAA
rnacentral:sRNA from 1 species